CAUUAUGAUUUCAAGAGAUCUCAUGUCUAUGUAUUUGUAUAUUUUCUUUUGUCGGCAUUCAUGCACAAGAAAAGGAGGAAAGAAGGAAUUGAAUGGAAGUAACAUUUCUUAGUACCGCAGAUGCUUAUGGGAGGAAGUGGGUCAUUCUCAGCUGGAAAGGGAAUGCACUCAAGGCUUUAUCUUCGUGUCUUGAAUGAAUACCAGCAGAUUCAAUGUUUUUCUGCAUUCAACAGUCUCUUCAACAAUACAGGGUUAUUUGGCUUAUAUGCAACCACAUUAAGGCACAAUCUUUUCUUAAAACACAGAUGUGAUGUCUCUAUUUAAUUUUCUCUGAAUUUUUUAUUCAUUGAAUGGUUGGGUUAGUUCGUCUAGAAAAAUAAGUUCCCUUCUAUAAUUUAUUAACACAGCACAAGAUAUUUAAAAUGUACUUCUAAGUUGAAGUUGUCUUGAACGUUGAUCCGAAAAUAAAAUAAAUUGUAGAUUCCGCAAGUUGAAGUUGCACAGACUAGGUUUCCUAUCGGUUACUUCUUCAUUUUCCUCCUUCUUUUAAGCUCUUUUGAAUUUUCGACAGAGUAUUUUUAAAAGUAUGAAAUUUGAGCUCUUUUUCAUGUGUCAAUUUAGAGUUCUGAUUAUGUGGAAAAAGAUGUGGAACUAGCAGUCAGAGAAUUAAUAGCACUCGCAUCACAAGGACAAGUUUCACAGAUACAGCUUGACUGUGCCAAGGAAUCCACGAAGUCUGCACUCUCUACUUGAACUGGUAGUUUGAAUGAUGUGGAAUUUCUUUCAUUUAAUCCUCCUGCCCCACUGGAAUUAAGAAUACUGUGACUCUUGCAUCAUUGCUUCCUUCUCUAUUAUCUAUCAUGGAUUUCUCUACACGCUUUGUCACAAAUAGAAAGGAGAAUUGUGUUGCUUUUACUUGUCAUUUGCCCAAGACUAACUGUUUUUGCAGAUAAUUGCAUCAGAGGAUAUAGGAAGGCAGAUAUUAACUUACGGGGAAAGGUAAAAAAAUUCAAUCAGAAGCCUAUUAUUUUAUUUAUUUAUCAACAUUUUUUUUCCAUUUAUUUAAAUCCUCCAGCUGCUGCUACUUUAAACUGAGAAGUAUCACUUAAAUCAUGGGCAUAAUUUGUAAUGAGAAUUUGUGUGAUUACCUUUUCUUCAGAAAGCCACUAGAGCAGUUCUUAAAGGAAGUAGAGCAAUCACUUUCAAACCUACAAUGUAUUAUUAUUGUGUAUGGUGUGUACCUUAAUUUCUAUUAAUGUUGUGUUAUGAUGAAUUUGAUUGUGUUAUAAAAAUGUUUUGAAGUUAAUUGUUGGCAUGCUUUGUUAUCAAUUCCCACCCUCUAUCACAACUGUAAUACCAACAUGAACUCCAUAGCAUUGGAGUUGUGGCUAAAAUUAAAUUGUUUUGUCCACACGUGACCUACCAAUACAUGACUGACUAUUUCAGGUGAAGUUUCUGUACAAAACAUGAUUUUCUCUCGCGUAAUCGUUUACCAGGACUGUGUAAACGAUUACAGCAGGGUUUUUUGACCAGUCUGAUUCAUCCCUUCCACAACUUGGUCCCCCACUCAAAAUGGGUCAUUCCCAACUCCUUGGGGUCACAUGAUAUCACCAAGCACAAGCUACCAACAGUCAAACACCAACAUGUUCCAAAGACAAGUGCAAAUGUGAGUCAAACAUACUGGUUUUGACAAUGGUCAGCCGUGUUACCCUGACUGACUACUUCAGUUGAAGUUUCUGUACAAAACCUUAUUUUCUCUCGCGUAAUCAUUUACCAGGAUUGUGUAAACGAUUACAGCAGGGGUUUUGGACCACUCUGAUUCAUCCCUUGCACAACUUGGUCCCCCCACUCAAAAUGGGUCAUUCCCCACUACUUGGGGUCACAUCACAUCACCAAGCACCAUCUAUAAACAGUCAAACACCAACAUCUUCCAAAGACAAGUGCAGAUGUGACUGAAACAUACUGGUUUUGACAAUGGUCACCAGUGUUACCCUGACUGACUACUUCAUGUGAAGUUUCUGUACAAAACAUGAUUUUCUCUCACGUAAUCGUUUAUCAGGACUGUGUAAACGAUUACAGCAGGGUUUUUUGACCAGUCUGAUUCAUCCCUUCCACAACUUGGUCCCUCCACUCAAAAUGGGUUAUUCCCCACUACUUGGGGUCACAUCACAUCACCAAGCACCAUCUACAAACAAUCAAAAACUAACAUCUUCCAAACACAAGUGUAGAUGUGAGUGAAACAUACUGUUUUUGACAAUGGUCACCCAUGUUACCCUGACUGACUACUUCAGGUGAAGUUUUUGUACAAAACAUGGAUUUCUCUCGGGUAAUCGUUUACGAAGACACUGUAAACGAUUACCACAGGGUUUCUUGACCAGUGAGAGUCAGCCCUUCCACAACUUGGUCCCCCCACUCAAAAUGGGUCAUUCCCCACUACUUGGGGUCACAUCACAUCACCAAGCACCAUCUACAAACAGUCAAACACUAACAUCUUCCAAAGAGAAGUGCAGAUGUGACUGAAACAUAUUGGUUUUGACUAUGAUCACCCAUGUUACCCUGACUGACUACUUCAGUUGAAGUUUCUAUACAAAACAUGAUUUUCUCUCGCGUAAUCGUUUAGCAGGACUGUGUAAACGAUUACAGCAGGGUAUUUGGACCACUCUGAUUCAUCCCUUGCACAACUUGGUCCCCCCACUCGAAAUAGGUCAUUCCCAACUCCUUGAGGUCACAUGACAUCACCAAGCACAAGCUACCAACAGUCAAACACCAACAUGUUCCAAAGACAAGUGCAAAUGUGAGUCAAACAUACUGGUUUUGACAAUGGUCACCCGUGUUACCCUGACUGACUACUUCAGUUGAAGUUUCUGUACAAAACCUUAUUUUCUCUCGCGUAAUCGUUUACCAGGACUGUGUAAACGAUUACAGUAGAGUUUUUGGACCACUCUGAUUCAUCUCUUGCACAACUUGGUCCCCCCACUCAAAAGGGGUCAGUCCUCACUCCUUGGUGUCACAUCACAUCACCAAGCACCUUCUACAAACAGUCAAAGACUAACAACUUCCAAACACAAGUGCCCGUCUGAGUCAAACAUAAUGUUUUGACAAUGGUCACUUAUGUUGCCUUGAUUGAUUACUUCAGUUGGGGUUUUUGUACAAAGUCUGGAUUUCGAUCGCGUAAUCGUUUACCAACACACUGUAAACGAUUACAACAGGGUGUUUUGAGCAGACUCGCUCAGCCCUUCCAGAACUUGGUCCCCCCACUCACAUUGCCUCAUUUCCUACUCCUUCGGAUCACAUCAUAUCACCAACCACCAUCUACCAACAGUCAAUGACUAACAUCUUCCAAAUACAAGUCCACAUGUGACUCAAACAAACUGUUUUUGACAAUGGUCACCCAUGUUACCCAGACUGACUACUGCAGUUGAAGUUUUUGUACAAUACCUAGAAUAUUCUCGCGUAAUCGUUUACGAGGACUGUGUAAACGAUUACGAAUGUGUGUUUUUCAGCAGACUAGCUCAAGCCUUGCCCAAGUUGUUUCCCCCACUGAAAAUGGGUUCUUCCCCACUACUUGGGGUCACCUCACAUCCCCUAUUACCCUCUAAGACCACUAAAACACCAACAUCUUCCAAACACAAGUGCCACUCUGAGUCAAAAUAACAGUUUUUGCCAAUGGUGACCAAAGUCACCCUGCUUCACUAUUUCAAUUCAAAUUUCUGUACAAAACACACAUUAUUGUCGCGUAAUCGUUUACUAACCCACUGUAAACGAUUACCAUUUAGUUUGUUCACCAGCCCAACUCAGAACUUGUUCAACUCCCUCGCAGUAAUGACCCUUAAUUUCACUUAUGAAACCCUCCCUUACUUUUGAAAUACUUAUUAUAAUGGUGCGUUAUUUUUUCAAUAAAAGAUUUAUUCAUUAUAACAAACACAACGUCAAAACAAUUAAAUUGAAAAUUCAACCAAUAAUCUUAUUACAAAAACAAUGUCUACAUUGUCAACUAACAUUAUGUACAUAUAUAAACAUGUUGUGUUACAAGACAAAUUUGUUCAUGUGUAACCAAUCCUAAAGAAUGCCAUAUAGCUCUAGGGCUUCCAUUCGUCUUAUGUUCUCGUUGUCCAGGAUCCAUUGACAUACAUAUUUCUUUCUAAUCCCAAGCAGCUCCUUCUGAAACCAACAUUUUCCCAUUAGAAAUCAACACAUAAAAUAAUUUUAACAAACACACAAUUGCUACUUACAAUUGUAUAUUGAGGCAUGCUUUUUCCGUUGUAUUUGUCGUCUCCAUCCUAAAUUUCCAUUGCUUUCAACAUUAUGACUUCACAAUCAUGUCUGAAAUAAUAUACCCACCACAUAAAAUUACUUUUCACCAUAUAUUCAUCACAACACAAUAUAAUACAACAGUACAAUUCAAAAAACAUACAAGUUUGGUUGGCAUGAAAUAUUUGCUUGUUUAACAGUCAAAGGACCAAUACUACCUUCCGGUCUAUUCAUCAAGAGGCAAAAAAACUGUGCCAUAUUUUCAGCCUACCAGUUAACAAAUACAAAAAAAAUGUUAAACAAUACAGGGUUAUCUAACAAUCACAGGGUCAUCAACAAUGAAAUAUGUGGAAUCUUACAACCGCUGUGUCUAUCCUUUUCCGGUCUCUGAUCCCCUUACCUAAAGAGUCAAUCACAAAUAUCUCUAAUGAACUCAAUUUCACUGAAUAACACCACCAAUGAUCAUCGUGGACAAAUGGCAUAAACAACUACAAACAAUAAAAACAAUAUCAAUAAAACAUUUCCGACCAAAACUGGACAAAUAUUGCACAUUAAAGGUUACUCACAAAGUCAGCUGUGGCAAUGUCUCCAAGUCCAAACUGAUCGCAACACAGAUAACUGUUAUAGUUAUGAAGCGUCCAAACAUGACGAUUCUGUGGACGUUUCCUAUAAUCUGUAAGAAUAUGGUGCUGUGGACAAUUUCAAAAUCAUCAAUCAAAAAUCAUUUCUUCAAUGAAAUAUAUGAUACAAUAUCAAAUUUUAUUUACCGAGUAUAAUGGACUAAAAUGAAUCUUCUUAACAACACCGCACAACCUUUUCUCAAAGUACAUAAACAUCGUACAAGCAAAUAACACCACCUACACAAUAAAAAAUUUUCACAUUAUUAACAUAAACUACAACAUGAAACACAAAGAAAACUCACAAUACUAACCAUGUUAUCAACAUAUUUUAUCGGGGUCAAAGUGUAAAAUGAAGUCGUGCUCAACGUUUGCCCAAUUAUCUCGCAUACAACCCUAAACAUAUAAAUAUUAGUCCAUCACAAAAAAUAGAGAUUCGCCAACCACAACUACAAUUCAAAGCAAAUACCUGUAUACAGUGAACUCUCUGACGCUGACUGCUCUAUACAAUUGGUCUACAUCAAUAGUGGUGCUUGGAUCCCCAACAAAACUGCGCAAUGGGGGGAUAACCAAUGGUACGACCUCCUGUUCUUCUUCAUCCCCAUCAUCUUGGAUUUCAAUACAAACAAUGUUAUCAUGACUUCUUGAAACUAUCUCAUCUUCAUAUGCGAUUUUAUCCUCCCCUCUUACUUCCGUAUAUGCACCUAGGGGGUCAUCAACUGCAUUACCAUCACCUUGUUGUUCAAAUCCACAAUCACGACCAACUUUAGCCUCUUCGUCACCUCCAACUUCAGGUGCUUCAUCAACUCCACCAGCAACUUCUUCAUCAGUACCACAUGCAUCUUCUUCAGUAAAGAUUGGAGUUUGACAAAUUUCAAAUAACUCCCUAGUAAGAACUCCAAUCUUGGCAUUCAAUGCUUUGAGAUCUUCAUUGGUUUUCCUUAAUAUCUCCUCGGCACCUACUUCCCAUGUGUCAUCAUCAGAGCUUUUGUCAUCAUCUUUCUCAACC